rnacentral:rRNA from 1 species
GACGAACGCUGGCGGCGUGCUUAACACAUGCAAGUCGAACGAAGUGGCGAACGGGUGAGUAACGCGUAAUCAACCUGCCCUUCAGAGGGGGACAACAGUUGGAAACGACUGCUAAUACCGCAUACAGAAGGAGGGGAUUGCGUCUGAUUAGCUAGUUGGGGGGGUAACGGCCCACCAAGGCGAUGAUCAGUCGCCGGUCUGAUGAGGUGGACUGCCAAAUUGGGACGGAGUAACAGCCCAGAAUCCUACGGUAGGCAGCAGUGGGGAAUCUUCCGGAAUGGACGGAAGUCUGACUGAGCAACGCCGCGUGAGUGAUGACGGCCUUCGGGUUGUAAAGCUCUGUUAAUCGGGACGCGGUACCGGAAUAGAAAGCCACGGCUAACUACGUGCCAGCAGCCGCGGUAAUUC